rnacentral:tRNA from 1 species
GCGGGUGUCGCUCAGUGGCAGAGCACAUGCCUAGCAUGCAUGAGGUCCUGGGUUCAACCCCCAGCACCUCUG